rnacentral:rRNA from 1 species
UACGAAGGGGGCUAGCGUUGCUCGGAAUCACUGGGCGUAAAGGGCGCGUAGGCGGCUUUAUAAGUCGGGGGUGAAAGCCUGUGGCUCAACCACAGAAUUGCCUUCGAUACUGUAGAGCUUGAGACCGGAAGAGGUUAGUGGAACUGCGAGUGUAGAGGUGAAAUUCGUAGAUAUUCGCAAGAACACCAGUGGCGAAGGCGGCUGACUGGUCCGGUUCUGACGCUGAGGCGCGAAAGCGUGGGGAGCAAACAGG